GGACGAACAGCCUUAAAAAGAAAAAGUUAAAAAGAAAGAAUAUAUGCAUUAGCAAAACCAUAUAAACACGACAAGAAUUGAAUUAAUAGAAGGGAUACAUCAUAAGCCCUCUUUCUAUUAUUAAUUAUUGAUUCUAUCCUCUAGAUAUUUUAUAUUUCAAUAGAGAAAAUGUUUUCUCAACAUCUCCAUCUUCAUCAUGAUGAGAUGAGAAAAGAAACAGACUUUCAAGCCUCCUUUCUUUUCUUUUAUCUUCAUUUUGUUUUUUCUGGCCAUAUAUAUCUAUUAGAGAACACCAAAUCAGGAUAUAUUUUUCCAAGCUUUAAGAUGUUGCGGUCAGAUGAGCAUAUCCAUGUGAAAUUUUGUGAGAUGGUUCGCAUGGAGACAAACUACUGAAGUGAACUCCUUUCUCUUCAUUUCCCUCUCCUUGGUCCUCUUCCUCAGCAUCCCACAGGAAUCGAGCAU
rnacentral:misc_RNA from 1 species